rnacentral:lncRNA from 1 species
GGCAAUUGCAUGUGAUUUGUGUACAUUGUAAAAUAUAAAACAUGAUUUUUGACAUGUGAUUUGUUACUCGUGACUCUUAACAUAAAAUGUGAUCUAUGAAUUUGAUUCAUGACUUCUACAAAAUGACAUGUAACCUAUUAAUAUUGAUCUGUGACUUGUUUAUAUUGAUUUAUGACUUAUGUGAAAUGAUUGUGAUUUGUGAAUUCAAACCUGUGACCAGUGAACUGUGACUUUAACGACGAAUCAUGACUCGUAACAUAUAAACUGUGUCCUUAUGUGUUCAUGAACAAAUUUAGCUUCGGUGUGACUGUCUAUGAUCAUGUUAGUCCAAUUUGUGACUAUAUGUAACCUAGUCACAUACGGUCAUAGUUAACACAAAUCUUGUCAUAAGCAAUCAUGAUGAAAAUAGAUUUGGUCACUCACCACCAUUCCCAAUAUCAACAACCAAAUGUACACCACCUCAUCAGAAUCAUAUGUACUACCAGCAACAACACCGACACUCACGCCACGCUGCCCAAAAUUAGAACCACAAUCACCACCGCAAACUCAUCGCCACGGCCAGCACCACUACUACCAAACAAACACACCCCAUAUUACUCCACAACCACCAGAGAUCUACAGCGCCUCACAGGGAUCUGAAAGGGGUGGGAGAGGCGAUCCACGAC